rnacentral:rRNA from 1 species
AGGUUCUAACCUUGGCCCGUGAUCCGGGUCGGGGACAGUGCAUGGUAGGCAGUUUGACUGGGGCGGUCUCCUCCCAAAGCGUAACGGAGGAGUACGAAGGUACGCUAGGUACGGUCGGAAAUCGUGCUGAUAGUGCAAUGGCAUAAGCGUGCUUAACUGCGAGACCGACAAGUCGAGCAGGUGCGAAAGCAGGUCAUAGUGAUCCGGUGGUUCUGUAUGGAAGGGCCAUCGCUCAACGGAUAAAAGGUACUCUGGGGAUAACAGGCUGAUACCGCCCAAGAGUUCAUAUCGACGGCGGUGUUUGGCACCUCGAUGUCGGCUCAUCUCAUCCUGGGGCUGUAGCCGGUCCCAAGGGUAUGGCUGUUCGCCAUUUAAAGAGGUACGUGAGCUGGGUUUAAAACGUCGUGAGACAGUUUGGUCCCUAUCUGCCGUGGGCGUUGGAUAUUUGAAGGGGGCUGCUCCUAGUACGAGAGGACCGGAGUGGACGAACCUCUGGUGUACCGGUUGUCACGCCAGUGGCAUCGCCGGGUAGCUAUGUUCGGAAGAGAUAACCGCUGAAAGCAUCUAAGCGGGAAACUCGCCUUAAGAUGAGAUAUCCCUGGGGACUAGAUCCCCUUGAAGGGUCGUUCGAGACCAGGACGUUGAUAGGUCGGGUGUGUAAGCGCAGUAAUGCGUUCAGCUAACCGAUACUAAUUGCCCGUAAGGCUUGAUCCUAUAACA